ensembl:lncRNA
GUUGUGUGGCACAUUGUAUGUGCGUUAGGUGAGGACAUCUAUGUCCGUCUCUCGGAGGGUUUGGCUAAUGACCGUCUAGUUGACACUUUCCAACCGGUUACAAGAGCUGACUGCCAACACACACCGAAGCAUCUCAGUCCCGUGUACGAGUUCAUGUUCUGGGAUGCUGACUGACCGCUCAAGCUAACCCUCCACACUGAACACAGAGGUUUCCUUCAUAUCGACAGCAACGAAUGAUCGUAUUCCAAAAGAAGGCGGAGGCGUUACUUUAUCAUUUCCGUCUUUGCAUGUUUUGAUCUCCUGCUGUGUGUUGUUGUGUGUGUGUGUGUGUGUGUCAGACUCCUCAGAGGUCAUCUGUGUUCGCUGGAGCCCCCUCCACUCCGACCCCCCCUGCCGGAGCCCUCAUCUUCUCCCUCCCCUCGGUCUUCAGCCCAUGACCCCCGUGCACGUUCAGCCCUGCAUGUCUGCCCUGCGAGAAGCCCUGUAUGACCUGUGCGACCCCCCUGUAGAGAACGAGCGAGAGAGAUAGCUGAGUGACGUGUGGUCCAUUUCCAGCGCCAACAUCCGGACCGACGUACGGAGCAUGCCCAGUUCAACCAGCAACCCCCACCUGCCCCCCAUCACAGAGGAGUGACGGGGGGCAGAGAGAGAGAGAGAGAGAGAGAGAGAGAAUGAUGAGUGGAGGAAGAGUGUUGGAAACUUUACUUUAUGAAAUUUUUAAGUUUUGGUCAAUAUUUGUGACAAAAUAAGCAACAGAUCCAAUUGAAUAGGAGCGUUCUUUAAUAGUUUAGAUCUAUGACACCACUUAACAAUAAAGCCUUUGUGGUGAUAAAAGCUCAGAAAUGUGCAAAUAACCAAAACGUCUGUCUUUGACAGUUCGUAGAGUGAAAUUAUCACACAUAUUAAGAAGCUAAAUUGAUCAAAUGUGUUUGGAUAAAUGUGUGAAAGAUGAGGCUUCAAAAAACGGCAUUUAGAAAUCACAUUUAUUUUCAUCUGCUGACACUUGCUGAACUUCAGAGGUACAACGCAGGCAGCAGCUUUUUGUGACUUGAACAAUUCGACUGGUCUCUCUCCCCCUGGUCUCUCUCCCCCUGGUCUCUCUGUCUCUCUCCCCCUGGUCUCUCUCCCCCUGGUCUCUCUGUCUCUCUCCCCCUGGUCUCUCUGUCUCUCUCCCCCUGGUCUCUCUGUCUCUCUCCCCCUGGUCUCUCUGUCUCUCUCCCCCUGGUCUCUCUCCCC